rnacentral:rRNA from 1 species
GACGGGGGGGGCAAGUGUUCUUCGGAAUGACUGGGCGUAAAGAGCUCGUAGGCGGCUUGUCGCGUCGUCCGUGAAAACCUGCAGCUCAACUGCAGGCUUGCGGUCGAUACGGGCAGGCUAGAGUUCGGUAGGGGAGACUGGAAUUCCUGGUGUAGCGGUGAAAUGCGCAGAUAUCAGGAGGAACACCGGUGGCGAAGGCGGGUCUCUGGGCCGAUAUUGACGCUGAGGAGCGAAAGCGUGGGGAGCAAACAGG